rnacentral:snoRNA from 1 species
CUGGGGCACAGAGUUGCAGUUGAUUGAAACUAAAUCAUGUGCGCUAAGUUGUCCCGAAAGUAUAUUCGGAUUUUAAGAAGGCAGCGGUUCUCUGUGGAACUUUGUUGAUAAAAUAUUCGAACAAUC